AGAACUACACGAAGAAAUUGGCUCAUUUGAGGGGAACACAUGCAAAACAAUGGGAUGAGUUUCACCAACUUGAUGCCCAAAGGCGUCAGCAACAAGUGCACCAGCACAUGGCCGCUUCAGGUUUUGCUGGUUAUAAGCAGCAUAACUAUUCUGAGUAUGAAGGUGGCUCAGUCAAUUCCCAUUAUGAAGGGGCUACUAAUUUAGCGGCCCUUGAUUCAAGAAGCAAGUAUCCAAAUCAUAUGAUGGAGAAUUUUCCUUCAAGGCCUCAUGGUAGUUUUGGGGAGUUUCAACGUCAGAGGCACGACGAUUACGGAAACGCUUACAAACGAUACUAAUUUGUUAACCCCCUGGAAGUAAGUUGGAUUCAGAUCCAUCUUGGGUAGGCCUAAUGCAUGGAGGAACGCCUAAUCAAAGGUAAAUAUGUUGGUAUCAUACGGUCUUGGACUGAGUUGAUAACAAUGGUCUCGGACUGAGUUGAUAACAAUGGUCUCUCUGAUUCAUUGUAGCCUACUUCCAGUUUUUAUCGUUACGUUUGAUAGUUCGACUGGGUUCGAUACUUGUUGUAAAGAGCGCCAUGGAAUCUCGUCUUAGAUUUUUUAUUUUUCAGAUGAAGUUCUCAUGAACGGUUGAGAUUUUGAAUUAGUUAUGAAUUGGUUCCUUGGAGAACUCUUCUUUCUGCUGUUUUCCUAAACUAAUUGUUGGACAGCCAACAGCAUGACUGACUGAAUUCAACCACUAUUUCAUACCAUAUGGAAGCUUA